UGAGGGGGAGAAUCUGAAUUUUUAAGAAAGCUAAAUCAUUAAAUAUAUAUAAGCCAAACAAUUGAUUGCAUGAUAUGAAGGCUUAUAUAAUUCCAAAUGAAAGGGAGAGCUUUAAUUCCAAAAUUUAUUGUUUCACACCUUUCAAGCUUGGAUAAAUUAAAUAACCAGACACUUGAAUUCAUUUAUGAAUUUUAUUUCCUUGUUUAUUGAGCAAUUCACUUUACAUAUACUCAAUGUUUUGUCAUCAUCAAAAAGGGGGAGAUUGUGGAGUGAUUGAU
rnacentral:lncRNA from 1 species